AGGAAAUGUUUGUCUUUGUUAAACCACAUAUGAAUUUUCACAAAUCGCUAAUAUUUUGAGGAGGAAGUUUUCUCUCUUCAUUUGAAUAAGUUGUAAUAUACAGUUUAAUUGUAUUCGGCAUCAUUCGAAAACUGUACACCAUGUACACAGACAAUGAAUAAUUGACAACGAUAUUGUAGCCAGCAUACACAUUCUGAUAAAAUAGAGGAAACAGGUUAUUUGUUGAUCAGAAUGGCAUGUAUUCAACCACAGAACUUGAUAGAAUGGCAGCUGCAUUGUGUUCUAAAAAGAGCAAGCCUUCUUCAAUAUUAUGACAGUUUUAUCAGACAAGGUGAAUCCGAUGUUCUGCAGUUAUCUGAAGCAGACGAUAAUAAAUUUAAAGACGUCAUGGAGAGGGUUGGAAUGGCAAAGAAAUCGAUACAUGUUCGUCAGUUCAAAAACACGUUACUUGAAUGGAUGAAAGAUCCAG